GGUUGAAGCCAUGAUGAUAUUGUUGAAAACCCAGCUCAUUAUGAGAUCUUCCUUAGUGGAAGAUCAAGGAAAAGUUGCUAUAACAUUAUCUGAGCUCAGUG